GGGGAGGAAAAAUCUGCUUUCAAAUUUCUUUUAUUAAAUAGCUAACCCUGAUCGAUUAUAGCAGGAUCCUGGGAUAAGCAAAUGCAAGAGGCAGAAUCGUUAGCAAAGUAAAGUUAUCUAACUCUGGUCUGGGCUCAAAGCAGAGGUUAAGUGAGGGAGAGAGCUCUGGAUCAUUGCUUAGGAGAAUUGCUGCACUCUGGCCAAGAUGCAGAUGUGAAGUGAUUUUUUUUGUGUUCCCAUGCACGGUCUCAUCCCUCUUCCCAGACUUCAGUGGAUGGGUCAGAUUCUAAGUCACAAAACAUCCGAGAGCACAGCAUGUCCCAGCCAUAUUUCCCUACUAAGUGAGUGUGGAUGUCUCUUGACUUUCCUCACACCGACCCUUGAUCCUAACUCAUGAAAGAGGCUGAAAAAACAGGCAGGUACCGUUAGAUUUUAUGCAACUGAUUUUUGUUUAGUCUGCUGCUGUUUUUUCUCCCUUCUCAAGAUGGUUCACAAACUUGCAGAUCAGUGCUAAGAGGCAUGAUCUGACUCAGAGCUAAACUUUCAUUCAAAUCUUGAGCUUCUGCAGAUGUCUGAGAACAUCAUUUAUUGCAUAUGUUGAUUACAUUAUUUUUGUUAUGCCCUUGUUUUUCUUCUUGAUUCUUCUUUUAUCUCUGAUAAAACAGAAAUAGCAAAGGGUAUUUUUGACAGAGCACUUCUUUCAGUGUCAUUUUGAACCGGCCAGUAGCAGCUCAAGAUACCUUGAGAAAAAACCACCAAAUUCUUUUAAAGUAGAGAAAUAUGAAUCCAUUUAUACAACUAUGUGGCAUCAAAGUCCUAAUUCAAGACUUCCCUGGAGAAAGCAACCGGCUGAUGUCAGUCAGUCUCAUCCUUUCCAUCCUUCGUGCCUGUAUUGAGAUGGGCACACAAGCGCGUCUCCCUUUCAGAGUUUGCUGUUGCUAGUGCCGAUGUGCUCCAAAGCUAUUUGAAAGGAAAUAGUGCUGUGCCUGGCUGUUUCUGAAAAUGAAAUCUGGGUAAGGGCUCCCUAUCUCACUUUCUUCCACUAGAAAGUCCAUCUGACCCUCCCAGUGGGAGACGGUGGUGUUCUCUGCUCCCAAGAAACAAAGUACGGAUCUAAAUUAGUGGUGGCAAUGGGCUUGUUUGGAUGCUUGACAGCCCCAUCAGCUUUUAGGCUUUUUCUUGAUAGGAAGGAACAUGGUGGAAAGGAUUAUGCCCCACACAUUCCCAGUGAAAGCUGCAGCUGCCUCAGGGGUCGGAGCCUGCCAUGGCCAGGGGAAACCCCGCUCUCUGCUGGAAGACCCCUGACUUAGGUCCUGCAGAGUGGAAAACACAUGGCUAGAGAAUGCAGAUGACUGCUGCAGUUUGAGGGGCAGAUGUUAAAUUUAGUAAUUGCUGGUGCCGGCUGUACAAAUUCCUCUUUCUGGGGAGGGCAGCACUUUUUAUUUAUUUUUUCAUUUGAGGUACUUCCAGUGUGCACACUGUGACAGGCCUGAGCACAGAGCUACUGCCUCCUUCAGGUGCGGGAGAGUCCAGGGGAUGGUGGGAAGGCAGGGGCAGAUUUAGUUCCUGGAAUGUCCUUCUUUCCCUGUGUGUGGGAGUGGAUGGUGGGUACGAUCACUGUGCUGUGGAUGGAAGCUUUGAAGGAACUGGUGGCUGAGGAGUGGCAUGGAAGGAAAGAAUGGGGAAAACGAUCUGCUGUUUGCCACUGAGCAUCUCUGACUUGCAAGAGUACGCUGCAGACUAAAGACGUUUCUUAUAAAACAACAAACCUCCUCCUUGUAUCACUCCUGCUCGUUGUUCCUGGCAGUACUGGGCCAGCCACACCGGGUGCAUUUCUUUUUUUCCUCCUUAUUUCUGUGUGGCUGACAUGACGGGGAAGAAAGUGAAACUCAUGAUCCAGAGCUGGAGUUUCAUUGUCCACAGACCUUUUCUGCAUCACCUGCCUCUUCAGCUGGACAUGUGAACGAUGAUGGUGUAGAUGCUGCUGCUACUGCAGGGGUCCCGCCUGUUUUAUUACCCUGCUCACCACACCCCAGCACGGAGGGACAGCCAGAGAGGCGCCAUGUACAGAAUCACAUCUAUUUCUGCUUUGUUUUCUGACUCAGAACCCUGCCCCUGAUGACUAUGACAACGACAACAACAACAAAAAAAGGGCAAAUGCAUUUUUUACAUUUCUUGAUAAUUUCCAAAGCAAUGUAUCAUUGCUUUCUUUAGACUGACGCCAAUAUAACAGUUGUAUGGGUCUCAGCCAGGCUCCUGUGUCUUUUCUGCCUGAUAGUUUCAGAUUGCUGUAUGAAAUGUAUGCGCGUUUGCACACAGACACAAUCGUAAAAGGUGACGGCACCGCAAGCCCGUGGGGUUGUCACCUGUGUCAGAGAUGAAGUUGGAGGCCUUGCUUCAUAUGCAUGGAUGAGAACCCCAACCUGUUGGUCCGGUGAGCUGAAGUGAAGCAGCCCUACUGAGACAGAACUGAGUAUCCUAAGAUAUAUGCACGGUCCUGUUGUGACUGUCCCCAUGGCAGGGUGGGGUGGGGGACCGGAACACUGAAUGACGAAUUUGGAGCACAAUAAAGUUGAUAAAAUAAGUAGAAUCCAGUUGGGGUCUGCUGGUAGUGGUGAGGUUUUAUCUGUUUCCAUAAUGAAAACUGCAGUGCAUAUAAAGAAAAUAUUCCAGGCUGUCAGAAGCCCCAGUUCCCAUCUUGCUAACACGAGGCUGGAGGGCACGAGGAUGCAACAAAAGUGGAAAACAGAACUGGGCCCAGAAAAGUUUUAUUAUAUCUUUUCUCUGUUUAUUUUCUUCUCCAAAGAAGUCUAAGAAAUAUAAAUUCCAAUAUAUGCAUAGGGUUUCUUUUUUUCUUCUUUUUAAAUGUUGCAAAGUUUUCAAAGUUUUAUCCUGGGUUAGCAAGCCCAGAGAUCCAGAAGAUUUCCAAUGGGAUCUCAGUCUGUGGAGCUUUGCUCUCUGUUGCUGUUUUGUUUCUGUACAGCUGAAUCCGCUAUGGCCUUGCUGCUAAGCACCCUGAGAUGGGGCAGGCGAGGGCAGAAGCACAGCCAAGAGAGAGAUGUCCUGUACUGCACUGCAGACAGACUGGGCUCCAACUGCUUUCGGAGAAGUCAGUAGCAUCACACUGGAAUGGAAAAAAAACCCAACUUCUUCUGAUAUAAACUUUAGUGUUCUAGUUAAAUCCUCCAUUCUUCCCCUGGCCCUUACGAGGGGCUUUACUUAAGUGUUAACACUUGAGCAUAAAAAACAGGCCUUCUUUAGGGGCACAGGGCUCAGCUCAGUUGCCUAAAUGUGGGCAUAUGCUACCACUUGAGAUCCCCUACAGCACUCUCUCUGGCUUGCAGCAGCUGGUCCAGAAAGGCAUGUCUCUUCCCCACGGCUAGUACUACAGCUACUGGUCCCACCUGGAUGGCAGAGAUCUCAGGUGGCAGGAGACAAUUAGGCAACUUAAUCAAGGCCCUUUCUAAAGGGCUAAUGGAGAGGAGCAGUACCAAUGACUGAUGUAACAAGGGAAUCUUCAUUACCAUUACCAAGGGCUUAGUUAGGCACAACUGGGAGCUGGUCUCCACACUCCCAUGCAGUUGUUUUCCUACCCCACCUCAUGCAGACAGCCUCCACUCCUACAGCCUGAAGUUCACGGCGCUCUGCCCGGCCUUUACGUCAGGCCAGGGUUAGCGGCUGCAUCCCAGACCCAGUGGAGCAGGAGCAAGCCCAGGCGAGAGCAGGCAACACUCCACCCAACAACAGGUUUUUUUCUGUCAGUGUUCAAACAGCCCCUUUCCAAAGCAUUUUCCUAUUCAAGACAGAUACGCAAACUCAGACACCAUUCAGCAGACUCGUUAUUUGGACGAUUAGAUACCUGCGUUUUCUUGUUGCAUUUUGCCCAGCAAGGCAAAAUGCAAGUUCCUUCCCAACAGGCUGUAAUGCUGUCAGUAUUUUAAGCAUCUGAAGCCAGCCUGCUCCCAUCUCAAGCACCUAGCUAGACUGGCAGCCAAUACUAUCUAAACAUCAUCAACUUUAUGAUUGCUCAUAGAAGUGAUUGUUUCAGGCUUAUUCAGCCUUGACAGUUUGAAUGUGGGAAGGUUUCAGAGGAGGAUCGAGAUUGUAAAUAUCUCUUUGACAAACAUUGCUGCAUCACACACAAAAAUAAAAGGGGGAGAUUCUUUUAAAACUGCCUUAAAAAUCAAUUCUGAAUGAUGAAAUCUCCCUCCAAACAAUUGCCGCUUGGUAGAGCAGGGGAUAAGUCGCUUUGGGUGAAUUCUGGCAAGAAGUGGUUGGCAUCUAGUCCAGUUUCAGGGGUGAAAGGUUUUGGGAGCUGAUCUCACACUCAGUCUGAACUCACAUCAGCGCCAGUGACUGAGCACUGCAGGAUCAAAACUACGUAAGAUCUGGGGGGCACCUCUAUCUGGCCUGCAGCUGCAUGGUUUGGGCCUGGCCCGGCAAGGUACUGCAUAACUGUGUUUCCCGGUGACUUCAGGGAAGAUGGGGUUCCUCAGCACCUCUUAAGUUCAGGCCCUGGAGCACCAUUUCCUGCUCUGAUCAUCAGCUAUAAAUGUUGAUAAAUAUAAGUGUUUUGCCUUCAUUUGAAUUGCCCAGAGCUGUAAAAUGACCUCUCUCAAGUAUAAAUCAGUCCAGACAUAAACCUCCUCUCCCACUCUUCCCUACACUCCCCGCCCACCCUCUCUUGCACCUCCACCCAAGCCCUUCCCCAUCUCAAUUCUUUACCUCCUUCCACAAUUUUAUAUCUAGUUUUCAUGAACUCACAGAAAUGCUUUUGUAAAUAAUGCUGUACAGUUUGUAACCGUCAUGUAAGCCUGUCAUCAGUGCCAGAGUCCGUCUUGCCCUCUCGCACGUUUUAAAAUCAACAGAGGAAAGUUAGAGUGAAUGGCCCGCCAGCGAGCUAUAGGGUCAUCUCUGUGUGGGACAAAUGUAUAUUCCUGUAAGAUUGCAUUUUUAUCUAAUGAAUGAUGUUAUUUUAAAAUUGCUAAUAAAUUUCUAAACAAUG
rnacentral:lncRNA from 1 species